GAGGUCUUGGCUUAAUUAAAGUGUUUGAGUUGCAGUCAGAAGAUGUAUUAAUUUAAUACAGGCCUUC
rnacentral:tRNA from 2 species